AAAAACUGACCUAAGCGAGGGAUCGGGCUGAGGCCGGCGUCGUACAGGGCCUGCUCGGUGACGAGCUCCCUCUGCUUCGGCACCGAGAUGUCCUUUAGCCGGUGGAAGUCUUCCCGAUCCUCGGCUUCCACCCGACUAUUCUCAUUCGGUUCGGUUCAGGGAUUCCCCCAACGGGCAGGGAACCCCCAGGGAGCGGAAGAG
rnacentral:lncRNA from 1 species